GUAGUCAUUUGGCAAACUGGUUGAAAGGCCAGGACGCAAAGCCUCCGGUCUAAAGACAUGUCGUCCAGGAUAGCGGGGUUGCCACA
rfam:Aeromonas hydrophila subsp. hydrophila ATCC 7966, complete genome.